rnacentral:rRNA from 1 species
AUUGAACGCUGGCGGCAUGCCUUACACAUGCAAGUCGAACGGCAGCACGGGUGCUUGCACCUGGUGGCGAGUGGCAAACGGGUGAGUAAUACAUCGGAACGUACCUUAUCGUGGGGGAUAACGCAGCGAAAGCUGUGCUAAUACCGCAUACGCCCUGAGGGGGAAAGCGGGGGAUCGCAAGACCUCGCGCGAUUAGAGCGGCCGAUGCCUGAUUAGCUAGUUGGUGGGGUAAAAGCCCACCAAGGCGACGAUCAGUAGCUGGUCUGAGAGGACGAUCAGCCAAACUGGGACUGAGACACGGCCCAGACUCCUACGGGAGGCAGCAGUGGGGAAUUUUGGACAAUGGGGGCAACCCUGAUCCAGCAAUGCCGCGUGAGUGAAGAAGGCCUUCGGGUUGUAAAGCUCUUUUGUCAGGGAAGAAACACCGGCUCUAACACAGUCCGGGAAUGACGGUACCUGAAGAAUAAGCACCGGCUAACUACGUGCCAGCAGCCGCCGUAA